ACGGGUGCGUAACGCGUGGGAAUCUGCCCUUGGGUUCGGAAUAACGUCGGGAAACUGACGCUAAUACCGGAUGAUGACGUAAGUCCAAAGAUUUAUCGCCCAAGGAUGAGCCCGCGUAGGAUUAGCUAGUUGGUGGGGUAAAGGCCCACCAAGGCGACGAUCCUUAGCUGGUCUGAGAGGAUGAUCAGCCACACUGGGACUGAGACACGGCCCAGACUCCUACGGGAGGCAGCAGUAGGGAAUAUUGGACAAUGGGGGCAACCCUGAUCCAGCAAUGCCGCGUGAGUGAUGAAGGCCUUAGGGUUGUAAAGCUCUUUUACCCGGGAUGAUAAUGACAGUACCGGGAGAAUAAGCCCCGGCUAACUCCGUGCCAGCAGCCGCGGUAAUACGGAGGGGGCUAGCGUUGUUCGGAAUUACUGGGCGUAAAGCGCACGUAGGCGGCGAUUUAAGUCAGAGGUGAAAGCCCGGGGCUCAACCCCGGAAUAGCCUUUGAGACUGGAUUGCUUGAACAUCGGAGAGGUGAGUGGAAUUCCGAGUGUAGAGGUGAAAUUCGUAGA
rnacentral:rRNA from 5 species